UUGCUAAAAACAAGCCCUUUCCCUUAGCUAAAAAAAAAAACCCUAGAUCUGAAAAACAAAUCCCCCGCGGUCAGUACUCCCAUUCUCCCAAUCACUCUCAACCUCGCUCACUUUCAUGAACCUCGAUCCCUCAAUCCACCCUUAAUCCCUCUCACCCUUCCAAGCUCCCCCUCGCUCUCAUCCUCUCUCUUUGUGUCAUUGAAGUUUUCCGAAAGCUGUGGGCAAGUUCAGGAGCGGUUCCGGCGAAGUAUAGCUGUCUCCAAGCAUCGUCAAUCUCUCAGGCCACCAUAGGUUCUCUUCCGUCGGUCGCAACUCUUCACUUUUCAACUCAUCUCCCCCCCCUCUCUCCCUCUCUCCUUGUAAGUUCCUCUUCUCCUUCAGAUUCAGAGAACUUCUUUGUUUUUAAUUUCAUCAGGUCUUGAUUGGGUUUUCUAAUAUGACUGGGUUUUUGUGUAUGAGCUAUCAACUUCUUCAUCGUCUUCAUCAGAGAGAACAAUACCCAUCAGGGUUGAAGAAUUUCACGAACACAUUGUUCCUCUGUCUCGGAUUUGAUGGCAAGCAAAUUGGGUUUUGCAAAAUUAAAGGAAAAUCUUCCAAUCAAGUUGGAUGCUUUGGUUUUAAUUGUAGAUACUGUCCAAUCUAUGAAUCCAUUCAAAUUUUAAUUGCAAUCUCUGCCGAGAGGUUACUAAGCCCUGUGGGGCCUCUACUUUGAUGUGUUGGAUGAGGAAUUUAUAUUCGAUUGAUGAGAAUGUUCAGAGGGAAACCAGAUUGAUGGGUAGUGGAAGCAUAUUCUGUUAGUAUAAAGGGGGAGAUUGUUAGUAUAGGAAUUGUAUGUUGGCAUUCCCCUUAUACAAAACUUGAGUGUUCUAGCUAAAAGUGUGUGAGUGUUUUGAUCUAAGCAUUUGGAUCAGUAACACAAGACAAGGACCCACUGACUCAUACGAAAUUUGGGCUGGUGUCCCCUCACAUGGACUUGCAAGUUGAGCCUUUAAACAAAGUUCUUUUAAGAAGUCUGGGUGUAUAAAAAGAAUGCUUUGGUUCCAUAAGUUUGAUCGGUUUUUGUGAGCAGUGUCUAAGUUAAAUGUUCAAGAGAAUAAGUGAGUCAUGAGUGUAUUCUAUUCUUAGAAUUCUCUUGUAUUAAAUACCGAUGAGUUCAGUUGAGAAAAUCAACUAUGUUUGAGAUUUCAAGGCCGAUGUUUUCAAGACAAGUGAAGCACAUUUAGAAGCUGUAGACAAAGUGUUGAGAGGUAGUGCAACUGGCUAAAAAGAGUUUAGCUAGAGAUAACCGAGUUCAGAGUUAUCCGAGAGGUUGUAAGUGUACCUUGUAUUUGGUUUACUAUCUUAUAAUGUGUGCUUAAGCACUUGGCCUGAGGCCCGCAGUUGUUUACCUCAUUUUGAGGGUUUUACUGCGUAAACAUGUUCCUGUGUCCCUUAUUUUCUGUUAUUUUUUCUUAUGCUUGCAUAUGGUAGUUUCUUUAUACUGUUGGUUAGGGAUAGAUAGCUUUUUCCAAUCCCUCAGCAACGUUCAGAAAAUUGGAUACAAAUAAAAGUUAAUUGCCUAUUCACCCCCCCUCUAGGCCAUUCUAGUACUUUCAUAUUCUAUUAUGUGGUUUCAAUUUGAAGCAGCUGAUUCUUAUUAUUAUUAUUAAUAUAUUUUUACUU